rnacentral:lncRNA from 10 species
UGGUCCUUCUGGAAGGGAACUGGCUAAGCCAGGACUGCUUUUCUGGAGUGAUAAUGUGCUUGCCUGUGUCUAAGAGAAAGGUGAAGAAUUGGGAAACCCAUGGGUGUCACGAAGGGUGGUGAGACUGGGGAACGUUUUAGAAAACCUGUACCCUGGCUGAUAAAUGGGACUUGGAUUUUAAAUACCAUUGGAUAAUAAAUGUAUGUGAUGGCUUUGGAGCAAAUUGAUUGACAAUGGCUAGGUAAGACUUCAGCCACUUUUCUAAGGACUGUUUCUAUAGACUAACCUAGAUAUAUUUUUCUCAUCCGUCACUUCCAGUUACUUUGAAUGUAACUCCUUCUGUAAACAUUAAAAAAGAAAAAGAUGAAGGGAUAGGGAUGGAAGGAAUAGAGGUCUCUGAUAACAUCCUAUAAUACUAACAUAGAAGUGCUUCUGAAUCAUAAAUAACUCCAUUCCUUUCCCUGAGAAACUAAAAUCACUGUUUUAAAAUGUGAAUCUGCUACUCAGGAGGCUGAGGCGGGAGAAGUGCUGGAGACCAGGAGUUCGAGACCAGACUGAACAACGUAGUGAGACCACCCCCGCCCCCGACCCCCAGCCCCAACUAAAAAAUAAGGACUAAAAUUAGCCAGGUGUGGUGGUGCAUGUGUGUAGUCCCAGCUGCUCAGGAGGCUGAGGCAGGAGGAUCACUUGAGCCCAGGAGCUAUGAUCAUGCCACCAUAGUCCAGCCUGGGCAACACAGUGAGACCCAUCUCUAAAAAUGUGAAUCUGUGUGUAUUGGUGUAAAGCAACCCUGGGAAUUAUUGACAUUUUGAAAAACAAGAAGGGGUGAGACAGUCCUGCCAGUUCCUCCUUUUUCAGUCUCCAUAUGUAUAAAUAACAUGCAAAUAGUCAUAUAACGCAGAGAAACUGGAAGUGUAUUGAAUUUGCAACUUUUUUUUUUUUUUUUUUUUUUUUUUUUUUUGCUUGAGGGCUUCCAUUUAGUGAGCACUCCUCAGUACUCACAGCAGAGUAUUGCCAGAGGAACUGUAAAAAAUUAAGUUUGCUAUCAGGCAACCAGCAAUUGACUAGGUAUGGCAUGUAUCAGUGUAUCCACCAGGCGGUACUGAGGCUUCAUUUCUUUGCUUAUUUGAAAAUAAGGUGGAAAAUGGCACAACAGCCUGACCUGAUUUGCAAUGUGUCCCUUAGAGCUUAGGCUAGCCAUUCAGUCUUUUCCUUUUCUAGGUAACUAACAGUGGCUGGACUAUGGCUUUGAAUAUGGGUCACAGAUGAGUAAGCCUUCCUCAACUGGUUCUGCUUCCUGUUUUCCAUAUAUAGGGGCCCCAUUUUUUCCUUUUCAAGUCCACACAGCAUUGCCUCCAAUGGGUGUGAGCAUUCCUUACCAGCAUUCAGAUGCUGAACAUUUUUAACAGCCUACGGGAAACAGUGUUUUAGGCAGCUCUUUUCAAACACUGAGUUUCUUCAGCUGUGGAAGAGAAUGUCCUUCCCAAAUAAGAAUUAAAAAAAAUGCCCAAUAUAAGCAAUUGAAUAGCACUGGAGUUAUUUUUAGGAACCAGGGUCACUCACUACAGGAAAUGAUCGUGUUGCCAAUGCGUUAAAGCUAGUGACUUUAAAAAAUAUUAUUUAUUUUCUCAUUUAACUGCAUCUCGAGGAAAGUUAGCAGUUGCAAUUUUAAGUUAGGAACUUCUCAAUUUCAGGCCAGAUUCAUUAGGGAGUAGGAAGGAUACCUUUCACUUAAAAAAAGGCAUUUGGGCUAAGUAAGAACACCUCCCCUGCAACUCCCUCCCGCCCUCCCGCACAACACUCAAAUUAAUCCCCACAACAUAUUAUCUUAGGCAGAGUUCUUGCCUCAUGCCUAUGAAUGGGAUGUCAUGAAACCCCUAAAAUUCUAGACAGAAUUUUACUUACACAUAUAUAUCUGCAUUGUUGUGGUUUGAAUGAGAUCUUAACCACAAAACAUUAAGAAUAACUAUUUUAAGCACUUACACGAUUAGUUCUUUUAUAGACUACCUGCCUAAACAAAUGUCAUUGUGGUUGCCUUGGAACUGUGAGUCGUAUAUUGAUUAGUUUAAUCAAAAACAAUAUUUAAAACAUCAGAUAGUGCUUCCAAAUAUUUUCUUAUGACAUGAUUUUCACUGCAUGUUAUUUAACCUGCAAGAGGUAGAACAGAAAAAGCAGAAUCUUUCGUGAUCAAACCGCACAACUAAAGAGUGUGCUGUUUAUGUCUACUUUUCAAGGUAAGAUAAACUUCAAAGAGAAAUGAACUUUUAAUUUCAAAUUCCAAUUUACAUAUUAGGACUUAAAUGACUUCAAAUCAUAUCUAAAAAUCACCAUAACCAAACCAUUGUAAAUUUUUACUUACAUUGAGAAUAAAAAUAAAUAAAUGUUAAGUAUAUUUCCUAAUAAUAUUUGCCAUGCAGCAUUUGGAAGAACAAGUCCUGUGACGCUUCUACUUUAAGAUUUCUGCAUUGUUGUUGGCUGAUGUCAUAGACUGUUCCUCUAUGAUCACAAGAAUUCCCUAUUUAGAACUGCAUAUGGGUGCCCGUUGGGUAACGUUUCAAGUUGAAAGAAUUUUGCAUUUUGUGUUAUUGUACUAGAAUGAAAUAAUCUUAAUCUGAAAAGUUUUGAUGGUUAAACUCUUUAAUAUUUUUGUAUUCCUGACUAUUUUCUUCAUUUAGCUAAGUUUACACUGAAGUCCUUAAUUACCCUUCUCCUUUUAUGAUAAAAAUAACAUCCUUCAUUAUCUAUAAUUUUCCAGUGGCUUCCACAUGCCAAAAACGUCAACUACACAAUUUUUCUCUUAUAGUCAGAACACUGGCUUGUGGAAAUGAAGCACUUCAUUCGAAAUUUCACCAGUAAAUGUUGUUGAUGUGUGAUCUCUAGCUUACAGAAUAGAUGGAACUGCAUUCUUACAUUUAAACAAUUAUCCUCUGAUUAAAUAAAUUCAAAUACAUCUAAGGAAUAGAAUAAUUAUCAGUUUUAAAUAAAAAUUAGUUAGACAAGUUUAACAAGAUGCCCAAUGCGUUGCAGUACAUAAUCCUUUUUGUGAAGUUUUUUUUUUUUUUUUUUUAAAGACGAAUUCUUGCUCUUGUCAUCCAGGCUGGAGUGUAAUGGCGCGAUCUUGGCUCACUCUGCCUCCCAGAUUCAAACGAUUCUCCUGCCUCGGCCUCCCGAACAGCUGGGAUUACAGGCGCCCACCACCAUGCCUGGCUUUUUUUCGUAUUUUUAGUAGAGAUGGGUUUUUGCCAUGUUGGCCAGGCUGGUCAACAAAGUAAUUUUGAUAGUAUCCACAUUUGACCGGGCGCAGUGGCUCACGCUUGUAAUUCCAGCACUUUGGGAGGCUGAGGCGGA